ensembl:lincRNA Gm12708 predicted gene 12708
GUGUGGAGUUUGACGUGUAAACUUGCUAGAGAGUGUGGUCUCCAGCCCAGGGAGUGUCUAAGGACUUCGUGGUGGUUGUCUUUCAGGAAUGAACCUCAUAGGAAAUCAUCUGUCCCUCCUUCAAUGAUCAUGGCCUCCAUACGCAGGAGAGUUGACAGGAUUCUACUGGGUGACUCCACAGGCCACUAAGGGACUUUAGCCACGCUUCCUGAGGCCUGGCAUAUCACAGAACUUGCUGGAAGUCACUUGUGAGGCAAGCCCUUGGCAAGCAGCACUGAGUAUGACAUUAUCUGCUGUGACGGAGGUCUAAUAUCAGAUCAUUUACGCGACCUUGUCCAACAAGGACAGAAGUAAAUAUCUUCCACGCACAUGCCAUCCGAUCCAGGCAACAGCCCAGGGAGGAGGACUGCUGUUUCUCCUCACACUGUGCAAGUGGAGGUGCAGAAAGGAGGGGCCACUGGAGCCUAACUUCCACCCACCCUCAGCUGUUUUACACCUGAGCCCUCAGGGAGGCUGCAACUCGGUUUUUUUAUGAGGUUAAUGGGAAAAUGUGCUGUGUGAUACGAGCCCCAGCAGAAGAGGAAACAGCCCAGGGGUAGAUUUUAGCAAGAAAGAACUGAAAGCUUGAGAAUGAUGGUAGACUGCCACAAGUCCCUUGCUGGGUCACCUGUCCCCUCUUGCCGUAACAAUGAAGGCCUAUGCUUGCAUCUCAGUUUUGACAUGACUGCCCAGAGGUGUCUACACAAGCACUCAACAGCUCCUACUUGGUUUAAAUCUCACUUCCCCUAUGAAGCCUUCCUGGACCUUCCAAAGGGUAUCUUUGAUGUGUGCUAACAUAAUCACUCAUAGUUGCCCAUAUGCACCCACCCAACCCCCCAAGCCUGCUGAUGCUAAACUUUCUUUCAAAAUGGGGAAGUAUUUGCCUACAUUACCCCUCGCACAACCUCUGUUAUAUCUUACACAAUCCCCAGGUUACUCAUAAUCUUACAACAACCUGAAUGCUUUGUUAACAUUUGUUAUACUCUAUUGUUCAAUAAACAAUCAAG